rnacentral:lncRNA from 1 species
GCUAUCGGCAGCACAGGAGAGGAUUAGCCAGUUGGUAGGAAGCUCGUCCCGACUUUCAACUUGGGCCGACAGCGAUCGGGAAUGGUCGAAGAAGGUCUCCAACCUUUAGCAACAGCUCCAGGAUGCUGAGGCGAGCUAUAACGCGUACCGGGCCGGCUGGUGCAAGCAGGUGGAUGAUUAUAGGGGAAGCUCAGGGUGGCGACCGAUGAGGUUGCCCGCCUUCAAAGGUAGCUAGCUGAAGGGGCUCAGUUUGCUCCUGUUCAGGGUCCCGACGAACUUCAAUCCCUGAG